UUCUGGUUGAUCCCGCCAGAGGUUACUGCUAUCGAGGUUCGACUAAGCCAUGCGAGUCGAAUGUAGCAAUACAUGGCGUACUGCUCAGUAACACGUGGACAACCUACCCUUAGGAUGGGGAUAAACCCGGGAAACUGGGUAUAAUACCCAAUAGAUCUGGUCUGCUGGAAUGCUUCCAGAUUUAAAACUCCGGUGCCUAAGGAUGGGUCUGCGGCCUAUCAGGUUGUAGUGGGUGUAGUGUACCUACUAGCCUACGACGGGUACGGGUUGUGAGAGCAAGAGCCCGGAGAUGGAUUCUGAGACACGAAUCCAGGCCCUACGGGGUGCAGCAGGCGCGAAAACUUUACAAUGCCGGCAACGGCGAUAAGGGGACCUCGAGUGCCAGGUUACAAAUCUGGCUGUCGCGAUGCCUGAAAAGCAUUGCAUAGCAAGGGCCGGGCAAGACCGGUGCCAGCCGCCGCGGUAACACCGGCGGCUCGAGUGGUAACCGUUAUUAUUGGGUCUAAAGGGUCUGUAGCCGGCCGGGUAAGUCUCUUGGGAAAUCCAGCAGCUCAACUGUUGGGCUUUCAGGAGAUACUGCCUGGCUCGAGGCCGGGAGAGGUGAGAGGUACUUCAGGGGUAGGGGUGAAAUCUUGUAAUCCUUGAAGGACCACCAGUGGCGAAGGCGUCUCACCAGAACGGACCUGACGGCAAGGGACGAAAGCUAGGGGCACGAACCGGAUUAGAUACCCGGGUAGUCCUAGCCGUAAACGAUACUCGCUAGGUGUCGGCCACGGUGCGACCGUGGUCGGUGCCGUAGGGAAGCCGUGAAGCGAGCCACCUGGGAAGUACGGCCGCAAGGCUGAAACUGAAAGGAAUUGGCGGGA
rnacentral:rRNA from 1 species